CUUGUUUGGGCCAGCGACAAUACCUUCUACCUUCCAAGCCUUCUGGAGCUAGAAUUAUUAUGGGAGUUAAAUAAUUACACCAACGCCUAGGCCACUAGGGCAAUGGGAGGGGCAAUAGAGCUCUCUCACCAUCAAUGCCAUGCUGGGAUUGGAGAGACGAGCCAAUUAAAACCCUCCAAACUAUUCAUUCAUACUUAUCUGAUCGCCUGAUGGUUCCCAAGGAAUUAAUUUUCACAAAGUGUAGAAGCAGGCUCUCUCGCAUGGUCCAAAAUUUUAACCCAACAUGAGGAACAGUUCGAUGAGCUCAAAUAAAAUUUUUGAAUCACACAUUCGCUUUAUUGUACCCAACAAGAAAAGAGUAGAAGAUGUGGGCAAAUAUAUACAUAAUUCUCAUUAGGCACCGUCAAGCCCUUAAAACAGCC
rnacentral:sRNA from 1 species